rnacentral:misc_RNA from 1 species
AACCUAGCACACCUGCGGUGUGUACCUGCGGAAGGAUCAUUACAAGUGACCCCGGUCUAACCACCGGGAUGUUCAUAACCCUUUGUUGUCCGACUCUGUUGCCUCCGGGGCGACCCUGCCUUCGGGCGGGGGCUCCGGGUGGACACUUCAAACUCUUGCGUAACUUUGCAGUCUGAGUAAACUUAAUUAAUAAAUUAAAACUUUCAACAACGGAUCU